rnacentral:rRNA from 1 species
AUUCCAGCUUCAAUAGCGUAUAUCUAAGUUGUUGCAGUUAAAAAGCUCGUAGUUGGAUAUCUGUGUUGGAUAUUGGGUCUUGGGAAACCGAGUUACUUCAGUAUUUGGCAUAUAUUUUGUGAGGCUCCAUUCUGACAUUAAGUUGUUGGUUUGAUAGGCUCGCAUCGUUUACUGUGAAAAAAUUAGAGUGUUUCAAGCAGGCGUUUGCUUUUAAAUACAUUAGCAUGGAAUAAUAAGAUAUGACUUGUGUGGUCUAUUUUGUUGGUUUGCACACGCAAGUAAUGAUUAAUAGGGACAGUUGGGGGUAUUCAUAUUUCAGUGUCAGAGGUGAAAUUCUUGGAUCGCUGAAAGAUGAGCUUAGGCGAAAGCAUUUACCAUGGAUGUUUUCAUUA